rnacentral:rRNA from 1 species
GACGAACGCUGGCGACGUGCUUAACACAUGCAAGUCGAACGGAAAGGCCCUGCUUUUGUGGGGUGCUCGAGUGGCGAACGGGUGAGUAACACGUGAGUAACCUGCCCUUGACUUUGGGAUAACUUCAGGAAACUGGGGCUAAUACCGGAUAGGAGCUCCUGCUGCAUGGUGGGGGUUGGAAAGUUUCGGCGGUUGGGGAUGGACUCGCGGCUUAUAAGCUUGUUGGUGGGGUAGUGGCUUACCAAGGCUUUGACGGGUAGCCGGCCUGAGAGGGUGACCGGCGACCUUGGGACUAAGAUACGCCGCAGACGGCUACGGUAGGCAGCAGUGGGGAACAUUGCCCAACGGGCCGGCGCCUGAUGCAGCAACGCCGCGUGCGGGAUGACGGCCUGUGGGUUGAGAACCGCUUUCGCCUGUGACGAAGCGUGAGUGACGGUAAUGAGUAAAGAAGCACCGGCUAACUACGUG